GUGCUCACUUUGGCUGCACAUAUACUAAAGUUGGAACAAUACAGAGAAGACUAGCAUGGCCCCUGCACAAGUAUGACACACAAACUCGUGAAGGGUUCUAUAUUUUU